rnacentral:rRNA from 1 species
AUUAUACCGUGAACUGCGAAUGGCUCAUUAAAUCAGUUAUCGUUUAUUUGAUAGUACCUUACUACUUGGAUAACCGUGGUAAUUCUAGAGCUAAUACAUGCUAAAAACCCCGACUUCGGGAGGGGUGUAUUUAUUAGAUAAAAAACCAAUGCCCUUCGGGGCUCUUUGGUGAUUCAUGAUAACUUAACGGAUCGCAUGGCCUUGCGCCGGCGACGGUUCAUUCAAAUUUCUGCCCUAUCAACUUUCGAUGGUAAGGUAUUGGCUUACCAUGGUUUCAACGGGUAACGGGAGAUUAGGGUUUGACUCCGGAGAGGGAGCCUGAGAAACGGCUACCACAUCCAAGGAAGGCAGCAGGCGCGCAAAUUACCCAAUCCCGACACGGGGAGGUAGUGACAAUAAAUACUGAUACAGGGCUCUUUUGGGUCUUGUAAUCGGAAUGAGUACAAUUUAAACCCCUUAACGAGGAACAAUUGGAGGGCAAGUCUGGUGCCAGCAGCCGCGGUAAUUCCAGCUCCAAUAGCGUAUAUUAAAGUUGUUGCAGUUAAAAAGCUCGUAGUUGAACCUUGGGCCUGGCUGGCCGGUCCGCCUCACCGCGUGUACUGGUCCGGCCGGGCCUUUCCUUCUGGAGAGCCGCAUGCCCUUCACUGGGUGUGUCGGGGAACCAGGACUUUUACUUUGAAAAAAUUAGAGUGUUCAAAGCAGGCCUUUGCUCGAAUACGUUAGCAUGGAAUAAUAGAAUAGGACGUGCGGUCCUAUUUUGUUGGUUUCUAGGACCGCCGUAAUGAUUAAUAGGGAUAGUCGGGGGCAUCAGUAUUCAAUUGUCAGAGGUGAAAUUCUUGGAUUUAUUGAAGACUAACUACUGCGAAAGCAUUUGCCAAGGAUGUUUUCAUUAAUCAGUGAACGAAAGUUAGGGGAUCGAAGACGAUCAGAUACCGUCGUAGUCUUAACCGUAAACUAUGCCGACUAGGGAUCGGGCGAUGUUUCUAUCUUGACUCGCUCGGCACCUUACGAGAAAUCAAA